AACGAACGCUGGCGGUAUGCCUAAUACAUGCAAGUCGAACGCCCCGUACGGUGCGCGGCAGGCGGGGGAGUAACGCGUGGGGACGGAGCAUCUGCUACGGAAUAGCUCAGGGCAACCGGAAUUAAGACGCAAUGCGCUCUACGGGCGAAAGGUUUAUCGGCAAAGGAACGGCCCGCGUUGGAUUAGCUGGUUGGUGGGGUAAUGGCCUACCAAGGCUACGACCGAUAGCUGGGCUGAGAGGAUGAACAGCCACACUGGGACUGAGACACGGCCCAGACUCCUACGGGAGGCAGCAGUGGGGAAUAUUGCACAAUGGGCGAAAGCCUGAUCCAGCGAUGCCGCGUGAGUGAAGAAGCCCUUAGGGUUGUAAAGCUCUUUCACCGGGGAAGAUAAUGACGGUAUCCGGAGAAGAAGCCCCGGCUAACUUCGUGCCAGCCGCCGCAGUAAUAC
rnacentral:rRNA from 1 species